CCUAGCCUUAAACAUCGAUGGCAACUUACACCUGCCAUCCGCCUGGGAACUACGAGCAUUAGCUUAAAACCCAAAGGACUUGGCGGUGCUUUAGAUCCACCUAGAGGAGCCUGUUCUAGAACCGAUAACCCCCGUUCAACCUCACCUUUCCUUGUUUUUCCCGCCUAUAUACCACCGUCGUCAGCUUACCCUGUGAAGGUCUAAUAGUAAGCAAAAUUGGCACAACCCAAAACGUCAGGUCGAGGUGUAGCGUAUGGAAAGGGAAGAAAUGGGCUACAUUCCCUUAUACAGGGAAUACGGACGAUAAACUGAAAUGUUUUUCCAAAGGAGGAUUUAGCAGUAAGCAGAAAAUAGAGUGUUCUGCUGAAAAUGGCCCUGAAGCGCGCAC
rnacentral:rRNA from 1 species